rnacentral:rRNA from 1 species
CUGCGAAUGGCUCAUUAUAUAAGUUAUCGUUUAUUUGAUAGUACCUUACUACUUGGAUAACCGUGGUAAUUCUAGAGCUAAUACAUGCUAAAAAUCCCGACUUCGGAAGGGAUGUAUUUAUUAGAUACAAAACCAAUGCCCCUCGGGGCUCUCUGGUGAUUCAUGAUAACUCGUCGAAUCGCACGGCCUUGCGCCGGCGAUGGUUCAUUCAAAUUUCUUCCCUAUCAACUUUCGAUGUUUGGGUAGUGGCCAAACAUGGUGGCAACGGGUAACGGAGGGUUAGGGCUCGACCCCGGAGAAGGAGCCUGAGAAACGGCUACUACAUCCAAGGAAGGCAGCAGGCGCGCAAAUUACCCAAUCCCGAUACGGGGAGGUAGUGACAAUAAAUACUGAUACAGGGCUCUUUUGGGUCUUGUAAUUGGAAUGAGUACAAUUUAAAUCCCUUAACGAGGAACAAUUGGAGGGCAAGUCUGGUGCCAGCAGCCGCGGUAAUUCCAGCUCCAAUAGCGUAUAUUAAAGUUGUUGUGGUUAAAAAGCUCGUAGUUGAAUCUUGGGCCUGGCUGGCCGGUCCGCCUCACCGCGUGUACUGGUCCGGCCGGGUCUUUCACUCUGCGGAACCACAUGCCCUUCAGUGGGUGUGGCGGGGAAGCAGGACGUUUACUUUGAAAAAAUUAGAGUGCUCUAAGCAGGCCAAUGCUCGGAUACAUUAGCAUGGAAUAAUAAAAUAGGACGCGCGGUUCUAUUUUGUUGGUUUCUAGGACCGCCGUAAUGAUGAAUAGGGACAGUCGGGGGCAUCAGUAUUCAGUUGUCAGAGGUGAAAUUCUUGGAUCUACUGAAGACUAACUACUGCGAAAGCAUUUGCCAAGGAUGUUUUCAUUAAUCAGGAACGAAAGUUAGGGGAUCGAAGACGAUCAGAUACCGUCGUAGUCUUANCCAUAAACUAUGCCGACUAGGGAUCGGACGAUGUUAUUUAGUUGACUCGUUCGGCACCUUACGAGAAAUCAANGUGCUUGG